rnacentral:rRNA from 1 species
AUUCCAGCUCCAAUAGCGUAUAUUUAAGUUGUUGCGGUUAAAAGGCUCGUAGUUGGAUUUCGGGCGUGGAGGUUCGGUCCGCCGUUUCGGUGUGCACUGUCUUUCUGCGUCUUUCUGUCGGGGACGCGCUUCUGGCCUUAAUUGGCUGGGGCGUGGAUUCGACGAGGUUACUUUGAAAAAAUUAGAGUGUUCAAAGCAAGCUAAAGCUCUGAAUACAUUAGCAUGGAAUAACGCGAGAGGACUCGGUCCUUAUUUUGUUGGUCUUCAAGGAUGGAGUAAUGAUUAAGAGGGACAGUUGGGGGCAUUCGUAUUUCAUUGCUAGAGGUGAAAUUCUUGGAUUUAUGAAAGACGAACUUCUGCGAAAGCAUUUGCCAAGGAUGUUUUCAUCA